rnacentral:rRNA from 1 species
GAGCUUGCUCCCUGAUGUUAGCGGCGGACGGGUGAGUAACACGUGGGUAACCUGCCUGUAAGACUGGGAUAACUCCAGGAAACCGGGGCUAAUACCGGAUGCUUGUUUGAACCGCAUGGUUCAGAUAUAAAAGGUGGCUUCGGCUACCACUUACAGAUGGACCCGCGGCGCAUUAGCUAGUUGGUGAGGUAACGGCUCACCAAGGCGACGAUGCGUAGCCGACCUGAGAGGGUGAUCGGCCACACUGGGACUGAGACACGGCCCAGACUCCUACGGGAGGCAGCAGUAGGGAAUCUUCCGCAAUGGACGAAAGUCUGACGGAUCAACGCCGCGUGAGUGAUGAAGGUUUUCGGAUCGUAAAGCUCUGUUGUUAGGGAAGAACAAGUGCCGUUCAAAUAGGGCGGCACCUUGACGGUACCUAACCAGAAAGCCACGGCUAACUACGUGCCAGCAGCCGCGGUAAUACGUAGGUGGCAAGCGUUGUCCGGAAUUAUUCGGCGUAAAGGGCUCGCAAGCGGUUUCUUAAGUCUGAUGUGAAAGCCCCCGGCUCAAACGGGGAGGGUCAUUGGAAACUGGGGAACUUGAGUGCAGAAGAGGAGAGUGGAAUUCCACGUGUAGCGGUGAAAUGCGUAGAGAUGUGGAGGAACACCAGUGGCGAAGGCGACUCUCUGGUCUGUAACUGUCGCUGAGGAGCGAAAGCGUGGGGAGCGAACAGGAUUAGAUGCCCUGGUAGUCCACGCCGUAAACGAUGAGUGCUAAGUGUUAGGGGGUUCCCGCCCCUUAGUGCUGCAGCUAACGCAUUAAGCACUCCGCCUGGGGAGUACGGUCGCAAGACUGAAACUCAAAGGAAUUGACAGGGGCCCGCACAAGCGGUGGAGCAUGUGGUUUAA